GCAGGCGUGGUCUAGUGGUAGGACUAGGGCCUUCCAAGCCCUCAGCGCGGGUUCGACUCCCGCCGCCUGCACCA
rnacentral:tRNA from 2 species